AGAGCGAACGCUGGCGGCAGGCCUAACACAUGCAAGUCGAGCGCCCGUAGCAAUACGGGAGCGGCAGACGGGAUAGUAACACGUGGGAACGCGCCCUUCGGUUCGGAAUAACUCAGGGAAACUUGAGCUAAUACCGGAUACGCCCUUACGGGGAAAGAUUUAUUGCCGAAGGAACGGCCCGCGUCCGAUUAGCUAGUUGGUGAGGUAAUGGCUCACCAAGGCGACGAUCGGUAGCUGGUCUGAGAGGAUGACCAGCAUCACUGGGACUGAGACACGGCCCAGACUCCUACGGGAGGCAGCAGUGGGGAAUAUUGGACAAUGGGCGCAAGCCUGAUCCAGCCAUGCCGCGUGGAUGAUGAAGGCCUUAGGGUUGUAAAGUCCUUCUAACGGGGAAGAUAAUGACGGUACCCGUAGAAUAAGCCCCGGCUAACUUCGUGCCAGCAGCCGC
rnacentral:rRNA from 1 species